AGUGUGCCCAUGUACAAUUUCUGUACAUCCACGUCAACUGAACAUGCGAGAAGGAAAAACAAACACAGCAACAGAAAACACGAGAAACAUUUACGCAAACUCAAUACAAAGAAUCAGCAAAGGAAAUUAGAGAUGCAUGACGAUCCUUGUCUCCUCCAUUGAAAUCGGAGUUUGAGAUGGGGAUUUUCGAGUGGAAAACAGGCCUUGAGUCCUGGCUUUGAUGGAAAUAAAGAGCGCCUGUGCAUCAUUCACCAAUUAUAAUGGUGAACUGGUGGUUGAAUGGUCGAAAU